rnacentral:rRNA from 1 species
UACGGGGGGGGCAAGCGUUGUUCGGAAUUACUGGGCGUAAAGGGCUCGUAGGUGGCCAACUAAGUCAGACGUGAAAUCCCUCAGCUUAACUGGGGAACUGCGUCUGAUACUGGAUGGCUUGAGUUUGGGAGAGGGAUGCGGAAUUCCAGGUGUAGCGGUGAAAUGCGUAGAUAUCUGGAGGAACACCGGUGGCGAAGGCGGGUCUCUGGGCAGUAACUGACGCUGAGGAGCGAAAGCGUGGGGAGCGAACAGG